CAGUUCAAGGCAUCCGUGGCCACUCUGAUGAAGAACCUACAGACCAAGAACCCAAACUAUAUUAGGUGUAUCAAACCGAAUGAUAAAAAAGCAGCACACAUCUUCACCAAGGCUCUAGUGUGUCAUCAGAUCAGGUACCUGGGGCUUUUGGAGAACGUCCGAGUGCGGAGGGCAGGCUACGCCUUCAGACAGGCCUAUGAACCUUGCCUAGAAAGAUACAAAAUGCUUUGUAAAUAGACAUGGCCUCAUUGGAAAGGACCAGCCAGGUCUGGUGUGGAGGUCCUAUUUAAUGAAUUAGAGAUUCCCAUGGAAGAAUACUCCUUUGGUAGAUCAAAGAUUUUCAUCUGAAACCCAAGAACAUUAUUCAAAUUAGAAGACCUGAGGAAGCAACGCCUGGAGGACUUGGCCACUCUCAUUCAGAAGAUAUACCGGGGGUGGAAAUGCCGCACACACUUCCUGCUAAUGAAAAAAAGCCAAAUUGGGAUUGCUGCCUGGUAUAGGAGAUAUGCGCAACAAAAGAGGUACCAGCAGACAAAGAGUUCCGCCUUAGUAAUUCAGUCUUAUAUCCGGGGCUGGAAGGCUCGAAAAAUUCUGCGGGAACUGAAGCAUCAAAAGCGCUGUAAGGAAGCAGUCACGACCAUUGCUGCAUAUUGGCAUGGGACCCAGGUACGUAGAGAAUACAGGAAAUUCUUCAGAGCCAAUGCCGGAAAGAAAAUCUAUGAGUUCACGCUUCAGAGAAUUGUGCAAAAAUACUUCUUGGAAAUGAAAAAUAAGAUGCCUUCCUUAUCUCCAAUAGACAAGAAUUGGCCCUCAAGACCUUACUUAUUCUUGGAUUCUACUCACAAGGAGCUAAAAAGGAUUUUCCACUUGUGGAGGUGUAAAAAAUACAGGGACCAAUUCACAGACCAGCAGAAACUUAUUUAUGAAGAGAAACUAGAAGCCAGUGAACUCUUCAAAGACAAGAAAGUUUAUACCCAUCUAGUGUUGGGCAACCAUUCCAAGGGGCUUACCUGGAAAUCAACAAGAACCCCAAGUAUAAGAAACUCAAAGAUGCCAUUGAAGAAAAGAUUAUCAUUGCUGAAGUCGUGAACAAAAUUAACCGUGCUAAUGGGAAGAGUACAUCUCGGAUUUUCCUCUUAACAAAUAAUAAUCUCCUUGCUGACCAAAAGCCUGGACAAAUCAAGUCAGAGGUUCCCUUGGUGGAUGUGACCAAGGUAUCAAUGAAGUCACAAAAUGAUGGCUUCUUCGCCGUCCACCUCAAAGAGGGCUCAGAAGCAGCUAGUAAAGGAGAUUUUCUCUUCAGCAGUGAUCACCUGAUUGAAAUAGCCACCAAGCUCUAUCGCACAACUCUCAGCCAAACCAAACAGAAGCUCAAUAUUGAGAUUUCUGAUGAGUUCCUGGUACAGUUCAGACAAGACAAAGUAUGUGUGAAGUUUAUUCAGGGAAACCAGAAAAAUGGGAGUGUCCCAACAUGUAAACGAAAAAACAACCGUCUCCUUGAAGUUGCUGUCCCUUAACUGGCGCCUCCUCUCUACUUUCAUGGACUUGUUUCUUUGUAAUAGUGCAAUUUGGUUUUGUUUUAUUUGGGGUUCAUUGUAUGUUUGGGAAUCACCAAAGGCUUUUAGAGUUCUUUGGCAAAAUAAAAAUAUUUGACUAAUCAAUUUUUAUUAUCGGAAUAGUUUUAACCUUUCAUGUUCGGUCCUGGAGCAGGAUUGUAGAAACUAACAGUGUCUAUUUUCAUGUCUGAUGUGUUCUUCGUUUAGUCAUCAUGUUAAAUCUGUGUACCCUAAAUCAGCAUAUUACUCAUAAAUCAUUAAUUCAUAUAAGUAUAGGAAAUGGUCUUAAAAGAUACUGCAUUCAUUCAUCAAAUAUUUAUUCCAUGCUUACUCUAUGCUAGGCCCUGUGCUAGAUGGUAUGAAAACUUAUUAGGAACCUUUUUGUUUUUGAGACCAUUGCAUUCUGGCUGAUUUGUGCUGGUUUAACGACAUCUAAGAAGGUUUAGAAAUGUUGAGACCAAAACAAUAACUGUUAAUGAUGGACAGCAUUAUUAGGAACCCUGUAGUAUGAUAUUUAACAAUAUAGGCUUCAAGAAGGGCUGGUCCUAAGAGGGGGCAGAGAUGAACAACAGGGUUAAAUCCCUCUACAUGUGGUUUCUGUUUGAAAAAAAGAAAACUGACAUUUGAACAGACUUUUAAUUUGUUUAAACCUCUGGUAAUUACUUGUAACAGUAGAAAAUAGAAAUCUUUCUUAUUUUAGAAAAAGUGACAGAAGCAGUCCAGUAAGAUUAUAUGUUUCUGUUUCUGGUAAAUGUCAUAUAUGAUCCUCGAAAUGAUAAUAUCUCCAGAAUAUUGUUUUCACCCAAAUUUGAGUAGAUAUUUUAAACACCUAACAAAGUAAAGGGCUAAAAGCCAUUCGGAUAGCAGUAAACAUUCUGUAUGAUGUGCAAUAAAACAUCCAAGAUCUUUUUUGAAAGUUUUAUUUAUAAUACACAUUUUUGUAUGAGAAAGGUGAUUGGUACAGGGUCCCUAUUUUAGUCAUGGAUCAAAAUUAAAUUUAUGUAAUUUGCAGGGCUUGCUUUCUAUUCCUUCAAAUUUAUAAGGGUUCAUUUUGGAAACUACAUUUUAAACUUUGGAAUCAAAUUGUUUCUUAUUUGGGAGGAUAAUGUAUAUACAUUGGUAUUAUGUUAAAUAAUAAAAUUGUUCUAAUUUGGUGCCA